ensembl:snRNA U6 U6 spliceosomal RNA
GUGCUCGCUUCGGCAGCACAUACACUAAAAUUGGAACGAUACAGAGAUUAGCAUGGCCCCUGCGCAAGCAUGACACGCAAAUUCGUGAAGCACUCCAUAUUUUU